CGUUCUGACACACCGGAAGUGGGUUUUUGGUGACAGCAUUCGCCAUUAUUUCAGACAGAAUAACGACAACAAAGGCAGAUUGAUAACAAUUAAUUCUUACAAUCGUCUCAAAUAAAUUAAUAAACUCUGAAUCGGAAAAAGAGCAGUCUGCCAUGCUGACAGUUGCAGGACGAGAAGAUCCAAGGUGCAGACUACUUUGGCCACAAAGAUGUUCCUGGUCAGUGCAUGAAGGUCCUGUGUCUUCAAGGAGCAGGAGUUCCUAGAGAAAGUGAAGUACUUUGUGAUGUGGUAGAGCAGACAUGUGGUCUCAGAUGUCAUACGUCUUUGUGAAGACUGGAGGCAACGGGAGGCCUAUGACAUCAUCGCUGAAGAUGUUCUUUGCUGGGGAGGAAACCAACAAAAACAUUCCUAUUUGAGUGGCGUCCGUGAAGCAAGUAAAAUCGCCUUACCUGUGAGCAGUCAGUCACACAAUACCAGCAUGACUACAUCUCAGUCGUACAGAGCAACACUUCAGUUCCUCACUCAACUGAGUCACUACGCUUUUAAGUGGUGUUUUCAACCAGUGUGUACUAUACCUCGUGUGUGAGCAGAGAUGACCAAUGCUGUUUGUAAUGCGGAAAUGUUAUGGACAUUGAAUCAAUGUGGAAAACUGAUUGGAUUUGCACAAAUUAACAUAAGAGAAUUUCAUAAUUUUCUUACCCAGCUUUUAACCUAAAUGUAAUGACAUUACGAAAUGUUUUGUUGAUUUCACGUUAGUUGACAACUAGACAUGGAACUGACGUCUGUGCCCAGUGGGACACCUCGUGUUGGUUUAGUUGGAGAUCACUGUAAUAAGAAAUUAAAAGAUUGGCAAGAUUGGCAAGUAUGCUUCUAAAUAAUGAAUUUUGAUGUACAAAUGGACAUACUGUUAUAUGUGGAUUGUUUGUCAAUAACUAUUUAGUGAGGUGCAUGCCAAUGUCGUGCACACAUCAUCAAUAGCUUUCAAAGUUCCAAUGUGUUGGUACAAUGAGCGCUUAACUGUUGAAGUAAUAAAAGUUGAUAACUUAAAUGGAUAAAUGA